rnacentral:rRNA from 1 species
GGGUGAGUAACACGUGGGUGAUCUGCCCCAAACUUUGGGAUAAGCCUGGGAAACUGGGUCUAAUACCGAAUAUGACUGAUACUCGCAUGGGUGUUGGUGGAAAGCUCCGGCGGUUUGGGAUGGGCCCGCGGCCUAUCAGCUUGUUGGUGGGGUAAUGGCCUACCAAGGCGACGACGGGUAGCCGGCCUGAGAGGGCGACCGGCCACACUGGGACUGAGACACGGCCCAGACUCCUACGGGAGGCAGCAGUGGGGAAUAUUGCACAAUGGGCGCAAGCCUGAUGCAGCGACGCCGCGUGAGGGAUGACGGCCUUCGGGUUGUAAACCUCUUUCACCAGGGGCGAAGCGAAAGGACGGUACCUGGAGAAGAAGCACCGGCCAACUACGUGCC